AUUGAACGCUGGCGGCAUGCUUUACACAUGCAAGUCGAACGGUAACAGGCCGCAAGGUGCUGACGAGUGGCGAACGGGUGAGUAAUGCAUCGGAACGUGCCCAGUCGUGGGGGAUAACUGCUCGAAAGAGCAGCUAAUACCGCAUACGACCUGAGGGUGAAAGCGGGGGACCGUAAGGCCUCGCGCGAUUGGAGCGGCCGAUGUCAGAUUAGCUAGUUGGUGGGGUAAAGGCCUACCAAGGCAACGAUCUGUAGUUGGUCUGAGAGGACGACCAGCCACACUGGGACUGAGACACGGCCCAGACUCCUACGGGAGGCAGCAGUGGGGAAUUUUGGACAAUGGGCGCAAGCCUGAUCCAGCAAUGCCGCGUGCAGGAAGAAGGCCUUCGGGUUGUAAACUGCUUUUGUCAGGGAAGAAAUCUUCUGGGCUAAUACCCCGGGAGGAUGACGGUACCUGAAGAAUAAGCACCGGCUAACUACGUGCCAGCCGCCGCAGUAAGAC
rnacentral:rRNA from 1 species